rnacentral:rRNA from 1 species
GCAUAACGCGAAGAACCUUACCAGGCCUUGACAUGCAGAGAACUUUCCAGAGAUGGAUUGGUGCCUUCGGGAACUCUGACACAGGUGCUGCAUGGCUGUCGUCAGCUCGUGUCGUGAGAUGUUGGGUUAAGUCCCGUAACGAGCGCAACCCUUGUCCUUAGUUACCAGCACGUCAUGGUGGGCACUCUAAGGAGACUGCCGGUGACAAACCGGAGGAAGGUGGGGAUGACGUCGAGUCAUCAUGGCCCUUACGGCCAGGGCUACACACGUGCUACAAUGGUCGGUACAAAGGGUUGCCAAGCCGCGAGGUGGAGCUAAUCCCAUAAAACCGAUCGUAGUCCGGAUCGCAGUCUGCAACUCGACUGCGUGAAGUCGGAAUCGCUAGUAAUCGCGAAUCAGAAUGUCGCGGUGAAUACGUUCCCGGGUCUUGUACACACCG